AUUGAACGCUGGCGGCAGGCCUAACACAUGCAAGUCGAGCGAGUGGCGGACGGGUGAGUAAUGUAUGGGGAACUGCCCGAUGGAGGGGGAUAACUACUGGAAACGGUAGCUAAUACCGCAUACUAUCGGAUGAACCCAGAUGGGAUUAGCUAGUUGGUGGGGUAAAGGCUCACCAAGGCGACGAUCCCUAGCUGGUCUGCGAGGAUGAUCAGCCACACUGGGACUGAGACACGGCCCCGACGCCUACGGGAGGCAGCAGUGGGGAAUAUUGCACAAUGGGCGCAAGCCUGAUGCAGCCAUGCCGCGUGUAUGAAGAAGGCCUUAGGGUUGUAAAGUACUUUCAGCGGGGAGGCGUUACCCGCAGAAGAAGCACCGGCUAACUCCGUGCCAGCAGCCGCGGUAAUAC
rnacentral:rRNA from 1 species